rnacentral:tRNA from 1 species
GAGUCGAAAGGUCAGCAGGUCACCCGGUGAACGGCGCCCGCUGAGACUUUUGAUCCUCGUGUCCUGGGUUCGAAUCCCAGCCGGCUCA